CAAACUGAGCGCCCCACCCGCCCCUGACCUUCCCAGGCCCCUCCUCUGGGCCCGCCUCUUUCUGAGAUGGGACCCCUACGCACACCCAGGGGGACUGUCACCACACCGCACGAGUCCCAUUUGUGCCUCCCGAGGGCAAGUUCACCCAAGUGGUGACUUUUUAGGGACUCUCUUUCUCCCAGAGACCUCCAGUGGCUACCCGCCCCCUGUCCAGUCGCUCCGACGUGGCUACUUCGCGGGCUGGGCUGUAUAAAGAGCUGGAGGCAGCUUGGCGGGCGCAAAGCAGAGACGUGGCACUUCUACUAGGCCGGCCUAGGUUCCAGGGCCUGAUUGCAGCCAAAGAAUGGAGCAGGGAGGAGCUGAAGAGAGAAUGGCCUGGGAGACAUGAAGACAGCUGUGGACCACUGUUGACUUUCCCAAGAAGACUCACUAACUGUAGACUUUGAUAUGUAACAAGACUACUAGACUAUUUUUUUUAAGUCCUAGAAUCAUAGCCUCCUUACAUUUUAUGUUUUCCUGUACAUGAGUCAGGUAGAUGUUAUAGUCACCAUUUGACAAUUUUUCACACUAGUUUCAAAUUUCAAA